rnacentral:rRNA from 1 species
CCUACGGGAGUCAGCAGUGAGGAAUAUUGGUCAAUGGGCGCGAGCCUGAACCAGCCAAGUCGCGUGAGGGAAGACGGUCCUAUGGAUUGUAAACCUCUUUUGUCGGGGAGCAAAAGACGCCACGCGUGGCGUUCCGAGAGUACCCGAAGAAAAAGCAUCGGCUAACUCCGUGCCAGCAGCCGCGGUACUACGGAGGUUGCGAGCUUUAUCCGGAUUUAUUGGGUUUAAAGGGUGCGCAGGCGGAAGAUCAAGUCAGCGGGAAAAUUGAGAGGCUCAACCUCUUCGAGCCGUUGAAACUGGUUUUCUUGAGUGAGCGAGAAGUAUGCGGAAUGCGUGGUGUAGCGGUGAAAUGCAUAGAUAUCACGCAGAACUCCGAUUGCGAAGGCAGCAUACCGGCGCUCAACUGACGCUCAUGCACGAAAGUGUGGGUAUCGAACAGGAUUAGAUACCCCUGUAGUC